UGAGCUCCUAAACCAUUUCUUUGGCGGAAUAUAGUGGCAGACAAAGAACUACAUUUUGAAACAAAACUUCAUAAGAAGAACUGAUUACAACUGUUGCCAUCACCUAAUAUUGACAUCAGCAAGUAGGAGGUAGCUGCUUUAAUUGCUUUUAAAAUUUGGUAACAUCAUAAACUGGUAAAGGAGACACCUAAGGGCCUGGACUCAGAUCUUGACAGUCAAGGCUCUUUGUACAGUCCAGAAUUCUCUGUCCGUGCAUCACAGGGAUGGAUUAAAGUGUCACCCCGACACAUCAGAAACCCGAGGCCUCCAAACUGCCUUUUGGGACACGAGGCUUUCAUCCACCACUGAGUCUUUGCUGACAGACGUACGGCGAAUGAACUGGUGCUGACAGCAAUGCGUCCGUCUGUGUGAAUUCAGCAGUGUAAACCUGGUUGUUCUGA
rnacentral:lncRNA from 1 species